rnacentral:rRNA from 1 species
UGGGGAAUAUUGCACAAUGGGCGCAAGCCUGAUGCAGCCAUGCCGCGUGUGUGAAGAAGGCCUUCGGGUUGUAAAGCACUUUCAGCGAGGAGGAAGGUGGUGAACUUAAUACGUUCAUCAAUUGACGUUACUCGCAGAAGAAGCACCGGCUAACUCCGUGCCAGCAGCCGCGGUAAUACGGAGGGUGCAAGCGUUAAUCGGAAUUACUGGGCGUAAAGCGCACGCAGGCGGUUUGUUAAGUCAGAUGUGAAAUCCCCGGGCUCAACCUGGGAACUGCAUUUGAAACUGGCAAGCUAGAGUCUCGUAGAGGGGGGUAGAAUUCCAGGUGUAGCGGUGAAAUGCGUAGAGAUCUGGAGGAAUACCGGUGGCGAAGGCGGCCCCCCUGGACGAAGACUGACGCUCAGGUGCGAAAAGCGUGGGGCAGCAAACAGGAUUAGAUACCCUGGUAGUCCACGCUGUAAAACGAUGUCGAUUUGGAGGUUGU